UACGGAGGGUGCGAGCGUUGUCCGGAAUCAUUGGGCGUAAAGCGCGCGUAGGUGGCCAUUUAAGUCCGCUGUGAAAGUCAGAGGCUCAACCUUUGAAAGCCGGUGGAUACUGGAUGGCUAGAGUACGGAAGAGGCGAGUGGAAAUUCCUGGUGUAGCGGUGAAAUGCGUAGAUAUCUGGAGGAAUACCGGUGGCGAAGGCGGCAUCCUGGACCAUUACUGACGCUGAGGCGCGAAAGCUAGGGGAGCAAACGGG
rnacentral:rRNA from 1 species